GUCCUUGUAGUGCAAUGGAUAGCCCUUUGGACUUCUAAUCCAAAUGUGGUGGGUACGAAUUCCACCUGGGAUG